AUUACACUUGGAGUGAGUUAAGUACAUAUUAUUUCUCAUUGGUUCAACUAAAUCUAUGUUUCUCUUAUUUAGGUUUGUGUAUGAAUAUUCAAGAAGGCACCCUUAGUAUGGUUCCCUCUUGUUGCUGAGAAUUGCCAAGGCAUAUGAAGCCAAACUGGAGAAGUACUGUACUGAAGCUCAUCCUCCUGCAUGUUAUGGCAAUGUGGUAGGUGUCCUGCAGGAAAAGAAGAAUAUAGCUCUUUGCUGAUUCUAAUAAUGAGAAAGAAAAACAAUAUAAGACUGAAAUGAUACACAGUACAAGUUAGAUAUUUUCUUGAGAUGGAUUCAAUUCUGAGCUCUUAAACAUUUUUCGGAAAAUAGCCUUAAAUAGAAUGGUUAAUAAACCUUAGAACAGUUGAUCUAGAAAAAAAAGAUAUAAAGACAGUAAUCUCUAAUUUCACAAAAUCUUGGCCAUCAUUUCUUUGUUUUCCAUAUUACCUGAAUCAAAUAAGAUCAGUUAAUUUACAUGUCAAUUAAAAGAGAUGUAACUUUGAUAUGAAGAAAGUUAACCUGACUCAAGAUUAUAUCAAGUACUGGUGAUAAUAUCUUAAGGGAGGUUAUGAAACUUAUUUCUUUAGAAUAUUUAAAAAUCUUUUUGAGAAGGUUUAGGAAAUGUUUUACAAGAUGAUAAGUUAGAAUACAUCUGUUCUGGAGAAUUUUAGGGUGCCUACUAUUAUAUAUUAAAGGUUUCCAAACUGUUAUAGAAUCAGAGAAAGACUUUUCUUUCCUCUACCAAGAAGCUGCUGUAUGCCAGGCACCGUCCUGCAACUGAUGCUGAGGGCAACAUUCCUCAGAGAGCUGAGGAUCCAACUGGAGAGAUGGCCUAAUAAUAAUAAUAGUAAUAAUAAUACUCAGGACCAACAUUUAUUGGCCUUUUACUAUGUACAAGGUGCUAUUUUAAUUUCAUUAGCUUAGUUGAUUCCCAGAGCAAUUUUGGGUGGUGAGCACUAUUUUUACCUCUAUUGUGAAGAUGAGGAUUCUGAAUCUAGAACUGGUAAGUAAGCUGCACUACUGGAAAAUGAAUCAGGUGGCCUGGCUCCAAAGCCAGCCACUGAACUCUGAGGCUGAAGAUUCUUAACUACGUGCACUAUACAGUCUUGUCAAAUAAGAGAAACAAUUUGAUGUGAUGUGAUAGAUGUGGCACUGAACAUCUCAUGUUUUUGGGCAGAAAGAAGGAAGGGGUAAAAAAUGACCAGCAUCUGGUCCUCAGAAGGAUAUAUAAAUGGAUUCUUUUAUGUUCCAGUUUAAGGAAUUUGAGCCUCUUGUGACUGAGCCUCAGUCAAGCAAAGCUGUGAUCUCUAUGAGCAGGUUGGAGAAUAUAAAUUCCAAAAUGCGUAAGUAUUUUUGUUUAUUCGCUGACUUUUUUCCUUGACCAAUUUGCUAUUAUUUAAUACUUCAUAUAUAGGCUGCCUAGCAUAUGACUUUUAAUAGCAAAGAUACACAUAUAUUUCUAACCUUUCUUUAUUAAGAAAGUCUGGAGAGUAGAGAAAAUACAGUCGAUGGGAUGCAGAGGCC
rnacentral:lncRNA from 1 species